rnacentral:rRNA from 1 species
UACGUAGGGGGGCUAGCGUUGUCCGGAAUCAUUGGGCGUAAAGCGCGUGUAGGCGGUCCGGUAAGUCCGCUGUGAAAGUCGGGGGCUCAACCCUCGGAUGCCGGUGGAUACUGUCGGGCUUGAGUACGGAAGAGGCGAGUGGAAUUCCUGGUGUAGCGGUGAAAUGCGCAGAUAUCAAGGAGGAACACCAGUGGCGAAGGCGGUGC